GCCCUGUUUUGUUUUCUUUUCUUUUGUUGCAUCUGGCCAUCUUAGUGCAGCCAAUCAAGAAAGCAGGAUUGUUUUAAUUAGAGAGGCUCAAAUGAAUUGUUGUUACGGAUUUAUACAAAAGUUUAAAGAGAUUUACUUUGGCUGAGUUUGAGCACCCUUAAUACAGAAUCAGAAUGGUUUGCUUUUUUAACAUUAUUAAAUAUCAACCUGAAAUCAAAGCCCACAGGUUUUGAUGAAAAACUGCAGCUGACAAGGAGAAUUAGGUACCAAAAUUCUAUUGGCUUUGUUUGAGAGAACAGUUGCAAGUUUGUUUUGCAGGCUGCACCGCACCCAGUCUGCCUCUUAGCUUUUGUGUAACUUUUGCCAUUUGAUUCUACACUUCAAGACAUGAGUGUUGCUUCUCUGUGGUGUCCUGCCCAGCAACCUGGAGUAGACACUGGGACCUGGAGAAUGAGAGGAAGACCCUGAGGAGAACGAGCCUCCUGACAAGAUGGUAUCUGCAGGAGGCCCUCACCUGCAGAGCGCAGUGAUCGACUGGGCAUAUAAUAGGCAAGUAUCGGAGGUCAAGGACGCGUUCCAGCCAGGCAAAAUCUCUCAACAAGGGUGCAAAGCGGUGAUGGUGAGGAAUGUGCCCUGAGGAGAGGGGGGUAGCCUGGGGAGAGCCCAAUGGCCAGAUGGCAAGGCUUGGAGGGCCAACAUUUGGCCUCCGGGCCCGAGGUUCCCCAUCCUUGAUAUAAAGGGUAUCUGGCAGUGCACAAUAGAAAUGAGGUACAGAUGUCUUCCUUCCAGAACACAACUUCUCCAGAGAAUGCUGUAGUGAAACUGCCAAUGGACGGUUGUUGUCAAAUGUUGUCCUUCUGGAUCCUAUCCUUAUUAAAAUGGUUUGUGUA